UACAGAGGUCCCAAGCGUUGUUCGGAUUCAUUGGGCGUAAAGGGUGUGUAGGUGGCGCCGUAAGUCGGGUGUGAAAUUUCGGAGCUUAACUCCGAAACUGCAUUCGAUACUGGCGUGCUUGAGGACUGGAGAGGAGACUGGAAUUCAUGGUGUAGCAGUGAAAUGCGUAGAGAUCAUGGAGGAAGACCAGUGGCGAAGGCGGGUCUCUGGACAGUUCCUGACACUGAGACACGAGGGCCAGGGGAGCAAACGGG
rnacentral:rRNA from 1 species